rnacentral:rRNA from 1 species
GAUGAACGCUAGCUACAGGCUUAACACAUGCAAGUCGAGGGGCAGCAUGAAUUUACUUCGGUAAAUUUGAUGGCGACCGGCGCACGGGUGCGUAACGCGUAUCCAACCUUCCCGUUACUCCGGGAUAGCCUUCCGAAAGGGAGAUUAAUACCGGAUGGUGUUCAAGUGGUGCAUAUUAUUUGAACUAAAGAUUUAUCGGUAACGGAUGGGGAUGCGUACCAUUAGAUAGUAGGCGGGUAACGGCCCACCUAGUCUACGAUGGUUAGGGGUUCUGAGAGGAAGGUCCCCCACACUGGAACUGAGACACGGUCCAGACUCCUACGGGAGGCAGCAGUGAGGAAAUAUUGGUCAAUGGCCGUAAGGCUGAAACCAGCCAAGUAGCGUGAAGGAUGAAGGUUCUAUGGAUUGUAAACUUCUUUUAUACGGAAUAACACCAUCUACGUGUAGAUGUCUGCAUGUACCGUAUGAAU